rnacentral:rRNA from 1 species
UACGUAGGGACCAAGCGUUGUUCGGAUUUACUGGGCGUAAAGAGCUCGUAGGCGGUCUGUCGCGUCGGCUGUGAAAUCCCGAGGCUCAACCUCGGGUCUGCAGUCGAUACGGGCAAACUAGAGUAUUGCAGGGGAGACUGGAAUUCCUGGUGUAGCGGUGAAAUGCGCAGAUAUCAGGAGGAACACCGGUGGCGAAGGCGGGUCUCUGGGCAAUAACUGACGCUGAGGAGCGAAAGCCGUGGGGAGCGAACAGG